rnacentral:rRNA from 1 species
GACGAACCGUGCGAACGUUGUUCGGAAUCACUGGGCUUAAAGGGCGCGUAGGCGGCUUGGCAAGUCGGGGGUGAAAUCUUUCGGCUCAACCGGAAAAGGGCCUCCGAUACUGCCAAGCUCGAGGGAGGUAGGGGCGGACGGAACUUCCGGUGGAGCGGUGAAAUGCGUUGAUAUCGGAAGGAACACCGGUGGCGAAGGCGGCGACCUGGGUCGAUACUGACGCUGAUGCGCGAAAGCGUGGGGAGCAAACAGG